rnacentral:rRNA from 1 species
UACGUAGGGCGCAAGCGUUGUCCGGAAUUAUUGGGCGUAAAGAGCUCGUAGGCGGCUUGUCACGUCGGAUGUGAAAGCCCGGGGCUUAACUCCGGGUCUGCAUUCGAUACGGGCUGGCUAGAGUGUGGUAGGGGAGAUCGGAAUUCCUGGUGUAGCGGUGAAAUGCGCAGAUAUCAGGAGGAACACCGGUGGCGAAGGCGGAUCUCUGGGCCAUUACCGACGCUGAGGAGCGAAAGCGUGGGGAGCGAACAGG